rnacentral:RNase_P_RNA from 1 species
AAGGAAUGGCCGUCCUACCGCUGCGGGUUAAACCGGAGAGGAAAGUCCGGACAGCAAAGGGUACCGUACUUCCUAACGGGAAGGCAGGGGAACAGAUCGGCGCAAGCCGGUAAAUACUUCUGACAGCAAAGUGCCACAGAAAAAUAUACCGCCUUGGCAUGUUUUUUGAUAUGCUGGGUAAGGGUGAAAAGGUGGGGUAAGAGCCCACCGCUUUGGAGGUGACUUCAAAGGCAGGGUAAACCUUACGGGCUGAAAGAUCAAAUAGGUGCUGAUUUGUGAGGUUACCCGCCUCCGUUCACGGUGUGGGCAUCAGCAUGGGUAGAUCGUUAGAGGUUUCGGGUGACUGAAAUCCUGGAUAAAUGGUAGGAAACCCGAUACGUCGGGAAACAGAAUCCGGCUUAUAGGCUUUUCCUUUU